rnacentral:lncRNA from 1 species
ACUUCUAGUCCUCACACUGGCAAAGUGAGCCAUCUUUCCAGCCCGAUGCAACAUUGUUUUACAUCAAACUUACAAGAACUACUUUGCUGGGUAUAUAGCUCAGUGGAAGAAUGCUAGCCUGGCAUAUGUGAGGCCAUAGGUUCAAUCCCCAAUGGUGCAGAAACAAAACCAACAACAACAAGCUGACAAACCAACACCACCAGCAGCAGCAGCAACCACCACAAACUAGGCAAAGAUUCCAUUUCAAAAAGAAAGAUCUAAAGAAACAGUGGACCUGCAGGUUUAAUGGAUUAGUGUGUAUUUCAGGUGCCACCCUGGGGUCUUUGUUGGCCUGCAGUGAUGCUACAUUGUACCCAAUGACAAACCAACGACAAACUCAGAAGAAGCAAAAGCUUUCCAGCAAUGAGCAGGCAGAAACUUCUGGGAAGCAAGAUGUGUGAAGAUGUAUGACUUGACAAACAACACAGACUUAAUUGCUUACAGCUUCCCGGAGACACAAUCUCUUCAGUUCCUCCAGCCUCUGGCGCAGCGUCUCCUCCAGAGCUUCCUGCCUGGAUUUCAAGGCAGCCAACAUGUCUUUCUUGGCUGACUGCGAGCUAUCUGAUUCCUGAGAACCUGUUGAUAAACAGCAGGGUUACUAGGCGGCUG